rnacentral:lncRNA from 1 species
CUUAGUGCUGGUUAGUUCUCUGUUAUAAAGAUAUAGGCAGUGUAUAAGUACGAUUUUGUAGUAGUCUCAACAUAAGCCUAUGCAAAAUGAUAAUACUGAAGCUGAACAAAAUUCCCCUGAAUCUUGCUCUAUUCUGGAAAAUUCUGAACCACAGCCCAAUAGUUCAAAGCAGAUUGGACCGAAUGAGUGGACCCCACAAAAUUAUUGGACAAUAUUUUGCCUGUUCUAUUGGUUAGCAAAACUCGUACUACAUCUAAAUGUCAGAAGUCCCAUGCUAUUAUUCGUAUGUCACCCGAUAAUAUAGCUAAACUAAAACAGAAAACAAAAAACAAGACUGACAAAUAAAAAAAACAGAUAAAAAAAAGACAAAUAAAAUGUAUGAAAGAACAAAAUAAGAAGAUAUUCCAGUGUAGAACUCCCCAGUGGCAGCUCUGAAGAGGAAAUCUAGAUGCAAUAUGCAUCCAGUGAUAUAUCUAGUGAUAAUGCUGAUCACUCUAAUGAAUGUGUAGAUAGAGAAGAUUAUGACAGCAUAAAGAUUAAAGUUGGCUGGAUUAAGUGUAUUCGCUGCCAGCACUGAUUGCACAAGACAUGCUCAUCUUACACUGAUGUAUAUCAGUCCUGUGGUCUUAUUAUAUCAAAAAAGUCGUAAAUUGUUAAAUCUAUCCAAGAAUUUUGCUAAAAAUGUGUGUUAACUUUCUUAAUUAAGUUUAACACACAUUUUUAACAUUAAAAUAGGCAUGGCUAACUAAUCCAUGAUCAUAUGGCCAUCUAACCCAGACUACAAGGGAUAGAUGACCAAUGACAUAGUUUUAGGAUUUUGUUAUUUUUUAUUUUCUAUCAAUUAUUUUUCACAAAAUUUCAUAAAAAUAUGAAACAUUAAACUCCUCUGCAUGCACUAAAACCAAAGUGAAUAUUUAUUUUAACAAAUAUAGGGCCUUAAUCUUCAAUUUAAAAAACUAUGGCCAUCUAACCUCGAUUUACCCUAUAAUAAUUCUGAUUUAGUUAAUCUAUCUACAAAUUCCUAGUCUUAACUGUACAUAGAAAUAGAAAAAACUACAAAAUACAUGUCUUACU